ACGCCUAGCCCGUUAUAUUCCACCCAGUAUUCGACGCUAAAUAAUCGUCUCUCACGUCUUCACCGAGAAAAUCAGUGUCAAUCUCUCAAAUAUCUGGAUAAAAGGAAAGAAGUCUACGCUCUAAUCAAAGAAUAAUAAUCUACGCAGCGCAAAGAGGAUAAACUACGUAAAAGCACAGCAGGACCACGAAUUCAUCGUAGCACACCUACCAGAGCGGCGCAGCGGGACAACGAGGACAUCGCAGCAGGUCUACGAUAGCAGUGCAGCAGGAUUACUAGGACAUCGCAGCAGGGCUACGGGAGCAGGGAGGCAGCGCUACGAGGACAUCGCAGCAGAGCUACGCAACGACAACGAGCCAGUGAUCCCAGCGCUGCGCGUGGUCAGCGGCAGCGUAUUCAUCCCCUCUCAAAAUACCUUCCAAAAAUUUAUUUUCUAU